GUGAGACGGAGAAAGAAAAGAAACAACAAUAGCCCUGAGACAGGCACUUCUGAUGGUUGCCAGUCACCAUGCCAUUCAGCAGCAGGUGGUCACAAGGUGGGCCCUGCGCCAUGUGCCACCAUGAAAGAUCAGGAGAGCGCACACCAACUACAAAUAGCCC